rnacentral:lncRNA from 1 species
AUUUACACCACAGGAACCGAAGAGUGUAAGAAGGAGACCUCAGCUGGUUGUAAGUUGUGUUCUAGUAACUGAAACUUACUUUUUGAAUGGCUGUUAUAUGUGAUGGACACUUCCUAAAACCCUGUGAAGAGAUGUUUAAGACCAUAUUUACUUUCACCAGAUGGCUGCUGAGUUCUUGACUUAGAAUAUGUGUUGAACAGAAACACUUGAAACUAUGGGGAAAUGGGUCAGUGUAUAAGUGCUUGCCUUGCAAUCAUGCAGAACUGAGUUGAAGACACUUGAAAAAAGUCAAGUGGAGGAGUCUGAUUCUUGUGCUUUUUAUAUGUCCACCCAUUAUGCUAUAAUUGUUGGUACAAUGUGUUGCUUGUAUCUUUCUUUUCAUCUUAAAGUACAAGUUUAAUGUGAUUUCAGAAGAAAGCAGAGGGUGUAAUUGGUACUGUGCCAUGGGAGGUAUCAGGAUAAGAACUGAGAACUUUGAGUUUGGCUGUCUGGAGUCCACAUCCAUGAAGGUGGAAAUUUGGAGUAGUUCCAAAGACUCAAGACAGUAUGGAGUGGAUUAAUGAGAAGAUAGGAGGUGGGAAAAAUAUAAAGAAUAUUUAUAAGUUCUGAGAUUGUGCUGUGAGUUUUUUUUUCACAGAAACAAGUCUGUUUAAUGAAACAAAGCUUAUCACCUUUUUCUCCUUUGCCCUUCUUGCCUCCAUACUCAAGUGAAUGUAAUGUUUCUCAUAUGCUAGUUAGAUGCUGUUCUACUAAUCAUGUUCCUUACUAGGUGUAUCCUAGGCAGUAAUCUACCACUGAUUCACACUUCUGGUCCCUUACUACUAAAUGAUUCUAGGAUGAUGCUCUAAUGUUGAACUACAUCCCAAGCAUUCAAUUUACUUUUUUAUUUCUUGAUAUGUAUGGGUAUUUUUCAUAAAUGUGUGUCUUUUUGCCCCAUGCUUUCUUGGUGCAUGAGAAAGUAGGUAAAGAGCUUUGGAUCUCCUGGCAUUGAAUUUACAGAUAUAAAUCUACAUGACAGUGCUGGGAACUGAACUGAGAUAUGCCGGAAGAGCACACAAUGCUCAUAUUUUCUGAGUAGUUUUGUUUAGCCCCCUUUUACUUUUUAUUGUGUAGAACUUAUCCCAGUAUAUUAUCAAACUGUACCUCUUUCUGUAUUGGAAUCAAGCCUUGAAUAUGCAGUUCUCAUCACAGCCUCAAAUAACAGUUGGGAUUUUUGGUGUGAGGACCAUGUUUGGGUCUUGAAGGGAGGCAACAUGAUAAUUCAUAUGUUAAUGAGAAUGCUCUACUGGAAAGUAUAUCCUGAUGUUAUUGUUUGUUUGUUUGUUGUUGUUAUUGUUUUGUUUGUUUUUUCCCCUUGGCUUGGAAGAAAAGAGAUAUUAAAAACUCAAGAGAUGAAUAUCUAGGAAGGUGUGAGACAUAUACUGAGCCAGUGCAUGUGGAGAGGCCACUUGAAACGAACGAUAACUCUUGCUUCUCUGGAAGUGGUACACACAGCAGCAUGGAGAUAUGGCAGCUGGUACAGCAAAAAAUCCCCAGAAAUUGAUACCAUUAAAAAAAAAAAAACCUCUGAGAAUAUUAGAGGGAAUGAUAUAAUUUGAGAAGCAAUCAAAGGGAGGGAAUAAUCAGUUUACUGUGUUUGUUGUGUGUGUGUGUUAAUGUUUAUGAAUGUGGGGAUAAACAUUAAACAAAUAACUCUGUUAUUCUAUGUGUUUUAAAUAUUUUUUGGUCAAAGCCUCUUUCUGGGACUGUAACAUAUUAUUGGGCUGGAUAGUCAGGCAAGGAAAUUUCACAGAUUAUCCUGUCCCUGCCCUGUUCCACAACUGGACUUGUAGAUGUAUGCCACCAUACCUUGUUUUGACAUGGGUGAUGUAGAUAUGAACUCAGGUCCUUAUUGGAUGGCAAGUGCUUUAUAGCUGGGAGCCAUCUUCCCAGCUUGGAGUAUGUAUGCACAUAUUAAACAGGAAAUGAGCAUGGUAAAUAGAAUUAGCAAAAAAGUUCUGCUUCUGAAAGUUACUUCUUCAGAGUCAUGGUUUCAUUAGUUAUAAAAUGGGGAUGUGUGUCCUAAGAUAAUUAUAAUGGGAUAAUUGGCAUAUGUUGGGGUUUCACCAUACACCGACCAUCCUAAGCAGCACAUGAUUUCUUCUGUGACUCAUAGAUCCUGACGUGCACAAAAGAGUGAUUGAGCUUUAGCAUAUUUGUCUUUCUACCUAUAUUUUCUAUCUUCUAUACUAUAGAAGUGGUUAUCAACUAGGAGUCAUUAUGUCUUCCAAAGGAAAAUGGUCAUUUAUAGAUAUUUUAGUUAUCAUAGCUGGACAAGAGUUGCUCCAUUAUACCCAACCACAAUUAAGUACUGACAGAUGUCAACAGUGCUAGGCUUGAGAAAUUCUGAAAAACAUUACACAAUGUCCUGGUUAGGAUCUUAGUGAAAAGAAUGUGUUAGAAAAAGAAAAGUAGGAACUGCUAUGAGAAACAAAGCAGAGAAAUCAUCAUUGUAUCACCAUAUGAGCAUAAUCAGCUACUGUGGCAGGUUCAUAUCAAAUGAGGCAUAUUAGUGAUGCAAAAUUUGAAACUCUAAAAUUAAAUUAGGGUUCCAAUGCUUGUCUCUUCUGACAAAAACAGAAAAAAAACCCACAAACAAUACUCUACCAAAAUCCUUAGAAUAUGGCUUUGGCUUGAUAAAACAGUGGUGUUGCUGUCUCUCAAUAUUGACAUGAGAUUUACAGUUGAGCAAAUUAUCGGGGUGUGUAGUGUGACUUUUCCUAGGGAAACAUGACACAUGUCUACUCACCCCAGAAAAUUCAUGAGAGACUAACAGAAUUACUACAGCAAAGAGCAAUUUUGUGAACUGAUAUCUUCUAACAUUCCUUGGUAAUUUUAGCACUCUGAAAGGUGAAGCAGAAAGUCAGGAAUAUGAGGUCAGCUGAGAUACUAACUAAACCCUUUCUCAACCAUACAUU